UUAGAUGAAGAAAUAGCCCUUGACAAAGCAGAGCUUUCUACAUAAAACUUUGAUGUCAUUCCUUCUCAUCUUCUCCAAAAAAUUGUUCCAAUUCUCAUAUUAAUAUUCUUUCUUUAUUCCUUUUUUUUGGUGUUCUUCAAACAUCCCCACUUCUCCCAUAACCAAACAACAACAACCACACUUCAUUUGUUCUAAAUAUCCUUGCAAGUUAUUGUCCUAUAUAUCUCUCCCUUCCUUCUAGGAGAGAUUCCUUGAGAAAGCUAUCCACACUGGCUGACUUCACUUUCUCUCCUUUCAUUAUUUUUAUAGCCCUAGAAACUCUAGUUUCUGAUCUCAUAAUUCAAUAAGUGUCUUCUUCAAAGUUAUCAGUGACAACUUAAUUACUAAAUAUAAUGGUCUUUUCUCAGUGAUUCUUCUUGAUAUCUGUUGGAUAUGAUUCUUAGAUCUAUCUACCCAUAAUUUAUCUCCUGAACUACAAUCUCUUUUGCCCGCUAUAUUGUAGACAUCUCAAACUGAAUGUCCCACAGUCAUUUCAAACUCAACAUGUCCAAAAUAAUGCUCAUUAUUUUUCCCCAUAGAUUCUCCCUUCUUCCUAACUUUCCUAUUACCAUUGAGGACAACUUCAUUCUCCUAAUCACCUUUGCCUUCAACCUCAGCAUUGUCCUCAGAGAAGGAGAGGAGGGAAGAGUCUACAGAAACUCCCCUUGGGGGGUCAGGACUAGAGAAGCUUCUGAGCAACAGCAAAGCCUACACCCAAGUGGAGAAAAAUGAGAGAAACAGAGGUCAAGUGGCAUGUAAGUGACAGUAAAUAUCACUGAUAAAUCUUGCAUUUUCUCUAGCCUUCUCUGUGCCUGGAAUGUGCUCUCUCCUCAUCUCCUAUCUACUGACCUCCUUGACUUCCUUUAAAUCCCAAAUACCAUCCCAUCUUAUUUAGAAAGAUGUUCUCAGUC
rnacentral:lncRNA from 1 species